GUGAGGAAAAACAAAAAGACAUACAUAAAUUUGAAAAUUUGUAGAAAAUAUUUCUCAAAAACUAAUUCCAAGAUCGAUCCUUUGUAGUAUAUCAAAAACAAGAUUCCUCUAUCAUUCUUCAGAACGUGGCCCGAAUCGGAUGCUCCAUGAAAGAGUAUGAAGUAUAUACAUACAUAUAUGUGUAUAUAUAUAGUUUGUCUAGCAUAGGACCUGCCUGAUAGUUAAGCGUCCGGACCAAAAAUAUGCCAAAAAACAUAUACAUACACUCGGACGGCUCAGAUUUAAAGGAACGUCACGUGAGAAAAAUUGCCAAAAUCUGAUUCCCAUUCGCACCACGCCUCUUCUCCUUUGAUUCGUAUUCAUCUUCUCCUACAGUUUUUUUUUUCCUCUGCUUCCACACUUCCAUCGUUCCAAGAGCCUACCUGACCUGACCAUUUCCCCGCUCGCACGCAAGCCACCACCAUCUCCACCUACCGUUGCAGCCACCAUUUCAGCCAUCCCAAAUCCAGCCCAACCGGCCACCGUGCAUGCCAGACCACUGCCACCACCAUCUCCUGCUCGCACGCAAGCCAUUCCAGCCCCACCGUUUGGACCAUUUCGGAGAGUAGUCGCCGUAAGUGCCUCGCCGGCUGAGUGCGAGAGGGUAAAAUUCGCGAAGUUUCCAAUCAGGAUUUCAAGAUAUUGUCUUGGGAAUUUUGUGCACACUGUCAUGAAGUAUACCAGCCUCAUAGCUUGGUUGAAUCACAGGUGCCUGUUCUUUGUGGUUACAAGAUCCAUGUGGUUAAAUUCAAGUACUGUUGAGAUAGUUCCUAAAUUUCGUAACUUUGGAUUUACUAUUCUCCGCUGAAGCAACAUUAAAUGUAAUAUAAGAUCUUGAAACAUGUCAUGAUUCCAGGUUAAUCAGUUUGUUAAUGCUGCCCAAAAAUACGAACAUUGUGUUUUGAAAACUGUUAAUACUGCCCAAAAAUACGAACACUGUUUUCCCUUUC